rfam:Clostridium sp. W14A NODE_2, whole genome shotgun sequence.
AAAAUAGAAAAGGGGUGCUGGGUAUUUCCCGGCUGAGAGCAGGCGGAUUGACGCCUGAAACCCAUAACCUGAUCUGGAUAAUGCCAGCGUAGGAAAACGAAAGUUACGCUCC